UACGUAGGGGGCGAGCGUUGUCCGGAUUUAUUGGGCGUAAAGAGCUCGUAGGCGGUCUGUCGCGUCGGAUGUGAAAACCCAGGGCUUAACUCAGGGCUUGCUUUCGAUACGGGUAGACUAGAGGUAUGCAGGGGAGAACGGAAUUCCUGGUGUAGCGGUGAAAUGCGCAGAUAUCAGGAGGAACACCGGUGGCGAAGGCGGUUCUCUGGGCAUGAUCUGACGCUGAGGAGCGAAAGUGUGGGGAGCGAACAGG
rnacentral:rRNA from 1 species